rnacentral:rRNA from 1 species
GACGAACGCUGGCGGCGUGCCUAAUACAUGCAAGUCGAACGCUUCUUUUUCCACCGGAGCUUGCUCCACCGGAAAAAGAGGAGUGGCGAACGGGUGAGUAACACGUGGGUAACCUGCCCAUCAGAAGGGGAUAACACUUGGAAACAGGUGCUAAUACCGUAUAACAAUCNAAACCGCAUGGUUUUGAUUUGAAAGGCGCUUUCGGGUGUCGCUGAUGGAUGGACCCGCGGUGCAUUAGCUAGUUGGUGAGGUAACGGCUCACCAAGGCCACGAUGCAUAGCCGACCUGAGAGGGUGAUCGGCCACAUUGGGACUGAGACACGGCCCAAACUCCUACGGGAGGCAGCAGUAGGGAAUCUUCGGCAAUGGACGAAAGUCUGACCGAGCAACGCCGCGUGAGUGAAGAAGGUUUUCGGAUCGUAAAACUCUGUUGUUAGAGAAGAACAAGGAUGAGAGUAACUGUUCAUCCCUUG